CCUGGCCUCAAGCGAGCCCACCUUGGCCUCCCAGAGUGUUGGGAUUACAGGCGUGAGCUACUGCGCUUGACCUGGGCUGCUUUCCCUUUGAACUGGUCAGUUGCAAAGCUGUUCUCUGAACCGUCCUCUCCGCUUUCUCCCUCAAACCUGCUUUGAGCCGGGUUUCUCCUUGUUGCCAACCCAGUCCUUCUCCUCCCCUUUCUCUGCGUGUGCCAUGGUGGACCCUGCUCUUACAUCCAUGCGGUUGCCUCAGUGAACCCUGCUCCAUCCCGGUCACCAUGCACGCUCCUGCCAGCUGGCCUGAGUCAUAACAGCUUGGAGUCCCCCCAACCCCACCCAAGGAACCCGCUUUGUCAAAGGUGACAGCCAAGCGAAGGGCAGUGGCCUCACUAGGCCACACUCUGCCUUUCUCUCUGGGUCCCUGGGCCCCGCGUUGCCAGGGCUGGUGGCUGCCGCUCCACUUCCUCCCCCGGAGGUGUGCACUGCAGUUCCCUCCGCCGGAGCCACUCUCUCCCGGGUUUCCUCCUCCUCAGCCUUCUCGUCUCGGCCACUGUGAAGUCAGGCCCCAGUUGUGACACCUCACUUGACACCCACAAGUCUUGGCCCCGGCUCUCCAAGCUCAUUUGCCAACAGCAGCGUCUCCAUUUCAUGCCCAGUGGUGACAUUGACUCCAUGGUUAUAGAGAUGGAGGAUGCCCUGUGAGAACCGGGCUAAGCCAUGCCAGUGGCCUGUGACCCUCCAACCCUGGGUGCCACCCCCCACCUGCUCUAGGGGACCCCCAGUGGUGUGGUCUCUGCUGACACCUGCGCCUGUGCCUGGGGUCCCUGUCAUCCUUCCCUGGUCUGAGUGGCAAGUCUCCUGCCAUCCAUCCCUGCUAGGCGGUGAGCUCUCCAGCCUGGGCCCGCCUAGUGGCUCAUGCUCCUUUCUACAGCGCCUGGUUUAGGGUGAAUGCUGAGGCUGGAGCUGACCCUGCCCUGGCCUUCAGAGUCUUGGCUUAGUUCCACCUGCACUGGUCCAAGCCCAGCCUGGUUGCCCAGUGAAGGAUCCACAGUGGGUACAUACAGGGCCAAGCGCUGUCCACACGGGCACAUCCCAUGUGGGCAUGAGUGCUCCCUGCAAUCCCCAGACAAGCCUGCCUCUCAGCGGGGCUUAGCUCAGGGCAUAGACCCUGAAGGGCUGAGUCUGCCUCUGUGUGUGUGUGUGUGUGUGUAUGUGAGAGAGAGAGAGAGAGAGAGGCAGGGAUGGGGGGAGAGUGUGUGUAUCAAUGAGAGAGAUGGAGAAAGUCAUGUGUGAAAGGGAUUGAGUAUUUCAGAAAAUGAAUGAGAGACAUUGGGAGACAUGGUGGGAGGUGGAGUGGGAAAGAGACCUGUUGUAUGAGAGGGAGGCUGUCUCCGAGAACGAGGGGGAAAGAUACGGAGACAGGAUAAGCGGCAGGGAGAGAGAGGGAGAGAGGGAUUGAACUGGAGCGAGACCAACAGAGUCCGGGGUUCUCCCCGCCCUUCCUGGCAGGCGGGCUGCCCUGAAGCCAGGUGAUGUGGGAGGAUUUGGUGGGUUCUCAGUGACCCCACUGAGGCCUGACCCUCAAAUGGAGAAGGUUCACCUCCUGCAAAUGACCAGACUGUGGGCUGUAAUUGUGUGUGUGUCUGUGUGUGUGUGGGCCUUAUGAUGGCCUCUGGAAGGGUCCCGGGGUGGGUGGGUCUUAGGCAUGGGGUGUCCUCUGCCCUUAUUCUUUCUUCAUCCGGGCUCCCUGCCCCUGCUGAGAUGGGAAGCACAGAUGUCAGCUUGCGGAGCUGCAGCGCGCACUCCCCUCCACGCUGCGCACGGGAACCCGUCCGUGUCACACACCUGCCCUGCCAUGGUGAAAGGACUGUGUGGGAUCUCUUCCUCCCUACCUGAAGUUCCUGCCACUGGGACCUGUCACAGGCACUCAGGACACAGCUGGCUCACCCUCUUCUCUGACAGCACCUGGGACAUCCAUGCCCCCGUCCAUUGUCAGCCCUGCUGAGGAAGGGUUAUAGGGUGGGCUGCAGGCUGGAGGCCAGGGAGAGGUGCAGGACCAGGCCUGGUAUUUACUCACCCUCCUCCCAUCCCACAUUGUCCUGGAGCCUCCAUCUCCACCUGAGCCAGCCGGGCUGAUGAAGAUUUCCAGGCAUCCUCAGCAAGGCCCAUGGCCUGGGGUCGCCACCUUCCUGAGCUGCGUGGAUCUCAGCCAGGACUUGUCCCUGAGAACAGAUGGGGGCUGGGAGUCCCAGCCCGUUCCUGGACCACCCUGCCAUCAGCUUGCCCAGCCUAGUUCCCUUUCUCUUCUGCACUCUGAACGUGCCCUCCGUGUGUUCAGACGCUCAUGGUUUCUGGUGAGAAGUUGGCUGUGUCUCUCACGGAUCCUGUCUCGUAGGUGAUGAGUGACUUUUCUUUUGCUGCUUGUCGAGAUUCCUGGCUGUGGAUUGGAUGACUGGGAAGCGCUGUCCCUGAACAGCCCCUGUGACUAUGGGGCUGUCCUUCCACAGUGUGUACUGAAGGUGCAGGCUGAACCUUUUAAAGAAUAAACAGAAAGAAAUCAGCUCUUUCACUUUUUGCAAGUUGGUGAAAACAGACUUCCAGGGAAUUUUACCUUUUUAUCAUCCCAUUUACUCUGGAAAGCCUUGUCUCAUGUUUUAGAGCUUGUAGGGUUUAAUAAAACUAGUUAACAGCCA